GUAGGUGGCAAGCGUUGUCCGGAAUUAUUGGGCGUAAAGCGCGCGCAGGCGGUUCUUUAAGUCCGAUGUGAAAGCCCACGGGCUCAACCGUGGAGGGUCAUUGGAAACUGGAGAACUUGAGUACAGAAGAGGAAAGCGGAAUUCCACGUGUAGCGGUGAAAUGCGUAGAGAUGUGGAGGAACACCAGUGGCGAAGGCGGCUUUCUGGUCUGUAACUGACGCUGAGGCGCGAAAGCGUGGGGAGCAAACAGGAUUAGAUACCCUGGUAGUCCACGCCGUAACCGAUGAGUGCUAAGUGUUAGGGGGUUUCCGCCCCUUAGUGCUGCAGCUAACGCAUUAAGCACUCCGCCUGGGGAGUACGGCCGCAAAGGCUG
rnacentral:rRNA from 1 species